GUUGGAAAAUCCCACUUUACUUCAAGUGAAGUCACUGGGUUGUCCCCAUGAAAUAUCUCCACAAUGGGUGUGCUAGACCUUUACUCUCUGUGGCACCACCAAGACCCCCUCACCCUGCCAGAGCCCUCUGAAGUGUACUCAGAAUGGAGGGGCUGGAAGUGGGGCCAGUGGUCCUGGUAGUCAGCCUCCCCUUCUGACACAAGAAUUAUCGUGGAACAGCUUGUGUGACCGAUCAACUGGUCUCUCCAUCUUUAAGCCAUUGUCUUGUUGACUCUGUUACUGCAGAGUUUGGGGAGGUCUCAUGGCUUCUCGCAUCCUAUUUCCUGAGCUUCCCUGAAGCCAACUUCUGGCCACUGGUAUGUGAUGCGAGCACAGUGCCUCCUCCUGCUCCUCCAGGAAGCUUCUGCUGAUUGAACGCAGGCCAGAUGGCGAGAUCCGGAGCAACCUUCUUAGAUCAAGGGAAGAAAGGGGCACAAGAGGGGAGUAGGUAACAAGAUAAAAGGAGCUCCCUCCCUGAUGACUACAGAGCCAUCGUGGCAGCCCUGGGCCUCCAUUUCAGACGUUCAUCUUGCCUAAGCCACCACCAUCAGGGUCUCAGUCAGUCAUCAUUCUCAUUUACUCGGGUGGCUGGGUGAGGGCGGAAUACUACCUUCCAGCUGUCUGAGAUUAAGCCUAAGCCACCACCAUCAGGGUCUCAGUCAGUCAUCAUUCUCAUUUACUCGGGUGGCUGGGCGAGGGCGGAAUACUACCUUCCAGCUGUCUGAGAUUAAGCAGAACAGCAGCUAAAGCAGUAACAGCAGGUCUCCUUCAGCAGCUUGCCACAGGGAAGAGGGUCCCGCGUGAACCGAACUCAACUUCCACCUGCGCAGAGGUAGCUACCAUUUGCGUAGAGGUAGCUGGGUCUUUAAGGUUAGAGGGAAGGCGCAGGGAGGGAGAGACGGCGGGUGGGGGUUGAACAAAGUGGAGAUUCACAAAAGCAGACUAGGGCGGGCGACGUGAUCAGAUGACCUGUGCGGGCGGCAGCCUCCUGCCCUCCUCCCCUUCGUGCGCCGGCUGGAGCGAAGAGUUCUUUUGACAGCCGUGAGCUUCCCCGCCAGGAACUUACUGGGGCUGCAUCACCCUAGAAACGUGGCUUUGGGCUGUGGAAACGCUGCCUCUGUGGAAGUCUCUCCUCGCGGGGGUGGACGGGUCGCUGCGCGCCCAGCGUUCUUCUGCGGUUCUCACAGCCCGCCGCCGCCGCCGCCUCGGGGACCUUUGCGGGGAGGCCUCAGGCACGUCCUCGACCUCAGUUGCCACGUGCACAUGCUGGUGCCUUCCAGGUCGGUCUUUCUCCACCAGACUCCACCUGGAACUUUCUUCCUUUUCGUCCUGUGCUGGCCUAACCCCUGCUCGGCCUCGGCCCUCAGCUGCCGGCUCUAACAAAGCCUCUGUCUUUCCCAGACCCCUGUGACCAGGCUGGAGUAUAGUGGCAUGAUCAUAGAUCACUGCAGCCUCAAACUCCUGGGCUCAAGCGAUCCUCCCACCUCAGCCUCCAUAUAGCUGGUGGGGACCAAGUUUCUAACACAUGAAUGUUGGGAGACACAUUCAGACCAUCGCAGUGGCCUUAUAAAAAGAGACACAAGAGCUUGCUCUCUGCCAUGUGAGAAUACCACAAGAAGACUGUCCUCAGCAAAUCAGAAAGCGGGUGGACCCUCAUCAGACACCAGAUGUGCCUGCACCUUGAUCUUGGACUUGCCAGCCUUCAGAACAGUAAGAAAGAAAUGUGUGUUGUUUAAGCCACCCAGUCUAUGGUAACUUGCUAUAGCAGCCCACUAGGAGACCCCAAGAUAUUUAAAAACUCAUCAGCACCUGCUUUCUGCAUCUGGACCCUGAUCUUCUGGUGGGUUUACCAGUUACUUGUAGAGUGUCCCUGUGAUAGUUUUAGGUGUCAACUUGACAGGAUUGAGGGAUGCCUAGAUGGCUGGGGAAGCACUGUUUCUGAGAAGGACCAUGUUUUUGGAGGAGACUGUUUUAUGAGUGAAUUUCAGGGGACACAUUCAGAUCAUGGCAGUGGCAUUAUAAAGAGAGACACAAAAGCUUGCUCUCUCUCUCUGCCAUGUAAGACUACCACACAAAGACUGCCAUCUGCAAACCAGAAGCAGGUGGGCUUUCCUCAGACACCAGAUCUGCCUGCACCUUGAUCUUGGACUUGCCAGCCUUCAGAACUCUAAGAAAGAAAUGGUAGCAUGGCUUGGUCUAAGUUGGAAGGCCUGAGAAACAAGCACAUGGUGGAACUGAGUUCAAGGAUAAAGACUUGAGAAUACCUGCUCAGUGGACUGAGUAGGGAAGAUCAACCCUCAAUGUAGGCAGGCACUAUCCAAUCACCUGAGGGCCCAGAUGGAACAAAAAGGUGGAAGAAGGGUGAAUUCUCUCUUCCAGAGCUGUGACACCCUUCUCAUGCCCUUGUACCACACAACUCUAGGUCCUUUGGCCUUUGGACUCUGACACUUGCACCAGUGGCCCUCUGGGGCUCUCAAGCCUUUAGCCUUGAACUUAGUUACACCAUGUGCCUCCUUGUUUCUCAGGCCUUCCAACUUGGAUCAGGCCAUGCCACCGGCUUCUCUGAUUCUCCAGCUUGCAGAUGGUAUAUUGUGACCCUGGCAUUUAAUAACUAUGACUUUGGUCUUAAGCAAUUUUCUUCCUCUGUGGAUUGAUAUUUACAUAUCAAUGUGGAUAAUAAUUUCUUACCACGGUAACUGUUGUGAGGUAAAAAUGAGUUAACAUAAGUAAAACCGAGCACAUGCAAACCAUCCGAAAUGGUUAAUACUUACUAUUUGUACUUGAAGAAAUAAAUGUUUUUGACAAUAAACUUCUUGUGCAGUUUUCCUC
rnacentral:lncRNA from 10 species